AUUAAUAUUCCUAAGAAUUCUAUGUAAUAGUAAUUCCUAAACUAAUAUUUCUAACUAAACUAAGAAUCCUAAUUAUCUAGAAUUUCAAAAUUAAGCUAAUAUCAAUUAAUUCUAAUAUUUCUAAAAGUCUAUUUCACUAUUUGACGUAUCAUUUAAUCCAAAUUUUAAUCAAAGUUAAUAUUUCAAAAAAAACCUAUCUAAAUCUAAUUAACCUACUAUUUCUAAUAAACCUAAUUUCCUAAACUAAUCGAUUUCCAAAAUUCCUAGAAUUCCUAAUUAACAUACUAAUCAUCCUAAAAUUUCUAAUUACCUAAACUAAUCCUAAUAUCAAAUUAAACUAAUCAUCCUAAUUACUGCUAAAAGUUUUUUUUCUAAAAUCUUAAUCUAACUUAAAAAGAUCAUAAUGCUUCUAAUUAAAACUACCUAAUUCUAUGAAAUUGGACAUUAUUCCUAAAAACUAGUUAACAUGUAAUUAACACACCAUUAACAAGAAAUGGGCCUUGUACUGACCCGGGGGUGCAGGCCUGAUAGGAGGUGCAAUCCGGGAAAGAUCCGCUUCUUCUUUGGUCCAAACCGGAUGCAAGCGUUGAAAUUCAACCUUACGCACACGAAGGUGACAGGCAAACGCGACUUCGACUCAGAGCUUGGCGGUGUGUUGCGAUCCGUCCUUCAUCUCACGAGUUCAUCUUCUUCAACGACGGAUCAAAACAAAACUCAGAUAAUCAGCGUCGCGAAAUCAAUCUCGACCGUUCGAUUUGAUUAGCCUGCAAACGCACGAAAAUGAAUGCGAAAUCGAAAGAGAGGAUCGCUGGAUUGAAGCUCGAUUGAGGACAGGUGUCUGGAUUCUAACAAGUAUAUCUUCUUCUUCUAACACUCGUGGCAACGAAUCGGACUUUCGUCACGAACAGGCAGAGUUUGUUGUGAAUUGGAAAUGGAGGUUUGAUGAAGGUGACUGUGAAUUUGUGGUUGAAGGUUUUGGUUGAAGAAUUGGAAGAGAGUUUUUGAUGAAGGUGAUUGUGAAUUGAAAAACGGUUACGGUUACUGUGGUUGAAGGUUUUGGUUGUAGAAGAUUAGGUGAUGGAGGAGGGAGUUUUGUGAAGGUGGUUGAUGAAUGGAGGUUGAAGAAGGAGAAGCUGGAAGCGGUUGAAGAUUGAUUUAUAUAGGGAUGAGAGUGAGGUUCGAAGUUUGUUAUGAAGAAAAUUUUGUUAUUGGAUUGGUCAUUUUUUCUGUGAAAUUAUGCAGGUUUUUGUAUUGGCUUGUGUAUUAGCUGCGUUUUGCUUGCGGUUUACCGGCUUGGCUCGCUUGUGGCUUGAGUUCUUGGAAUUGCAGCACCGCUUGUUUUGCUGAGCUGCAUUUUACUUCUUGGCUCAGGCUGUAUCGUAGCCUUCGUUCACUAUUCAUGCCGUUUUGAUUUUCUCUUCUAUGUUGCAGCCCCGUUUUACUACUUGGUUGCCUUUUUUGCAUUUGGAAUUUGGUACUGAUGCCAAUCUACUUUGGUAUGCUGGUGUUUUGUCUGUCAUGUAGCAGUACUUCCCAUGGCCUUCUCAUUUUCAUACAUGGCAUUGGUCUCGGAGAUUAUAAAUUGGAUAUGCAACAUUGAUUAUUAUUUGAAUAUGAAAUGGAUUAGAAAAGUGGGUAA